CUUAGCUGUCAUGCCACCUGCAGUUCAGACCCGGUAAUCCACCUGAAACUAAGUGGGUUUGGGUCUGGCCAGUACUUGGAGGAGAGACCAGCUAGGAAGGCUGGGUUGCUGCUGGAA
rnacentral:rRNA from 1 species